rnacentral:rRNA from 1 species
UAAGGAAUAUUGGUCAAUGGACGCAAGUCUGAACCAGCCAUGCCGCGUGAAGGAUGAAGGUCCUCUGGAUUGUAAACUUCUUUUAUCUGGGACGAAAACGGGAUUUUUAUCUCAAUUGACGGUACCAGAGGAAUAAGCACCGGCUAACUCCGUGCCAGCAGCCGCGGUAAUACGGAGGGUGCGAGCGUUACCCGGAUUUACUGGGUUUAAAGGGUGCGUAGGUGGGCUUAUAAGUCAGUGGUGAAAUCUCCGAGCUUAACUUGGAAACUGCCGUUGAUACUAUAGGUCUUGAAUUAUCUGGAGGUAAGCGGAAUAUGUCAUGUGGCGGUGAAAUGCUUAGAUAUGACAUAGAACACCAAUUGCGAAGGCAGCUUACUACAUAUAAAUUGACGCUGAGGCACGGAAGCGUGGGGA